rnacentral:lncRNA from 1 species
UCCAGGGAGGGCGUGCAAAGAGCGGCGAGCCAACUUUCACACAGCGACGCGAGCGGAAAAACCACUAUGCGACUUUUCAACUGUGCGGCGGGCCCGAGUCCCAGUCCAGGAGCCCGGCUCUAGCGGAUGGCGAGGGGGUGGCGAGCGCGCUUGGGUGCCCGCCCCGCAGAGGAGCGUCUGGUCCACAGCCGGAUCUCCUCGGUCCCCAACCCGGAGCCGCGGCCCCACGCCCGCCCCGCCUGCCGAGCCUUCUGCACGGCACUUGAAGUGAAUGAAUCAGCCGCGGCCGGGUGCGCGGCCACCACGUUUCCUGUUUUCUUUCUCAACUCCUCGGGCGGCAGGCGCAGCGCGGCUCCAACGCCGCAGCUUUCCGGGAACACUCCCCCUCACGCCCCUCUCGGCCCUCGGCGCUGCCUGGCUCCUCCUCAACCCCCUUACGAAAAGAUUCCGAAUUGCAAAAGCCUGUCCCUGUCCGUGCCACCCGCCGCGUCCUUCCCCUCGAGCUCUGCCCCGGGGGCCCCGCCACCUCGCAGUGCCAUCCCCCCGGCGCAGCCGGGCGCCACUCGCUUUGAAGUGCAGACGAGGAGGCGCGGGCGCGAGCGUGUGUGUCUGUGGGGCUGCUGUGGGACUGUCUGUGCUAGGAGAGCGGCGGAAAACCCGGCGUGGAGCGCCUGCAGUCCGCCGUCCGGGGUCGCGCCCGCCGCGGGGCUCAGGAGGGACCGGCACGCAGGCGCGCACGGCCGCGCACCUGUCUCGCUAGAACCCCGCGCGCCCCGCCGAGCCACUGCCCUCCAGGUUGCCCAGACCGCUGGAGCCUCUGCGACUCCACGACCGGCUGCUUCCUGCGAAGUUUCACAAACAAGGUUAUUUAGGACCCUCAAGGUUUCUGAGGGUUUAAGUUUUAGGGUUUCUGGGGGUUCGUUUCUAAAGGCUUAGGAUUCACCUACUUCAAGGAGGCAGGGUUGUGGGAAUUAAGACCGCAUUCUUUUUCUACCCAGCCCAGUCCCUACUAAGUACCAGACUUCUAAAUGUUGGGGCGGACAGAAACAAGCAAACAAAAUAUACAAUGUUGUGGGGUCGGAACGCUUUAUAAUUCACAAAUUUGACAAUAGGCUGCAUUUUCAUAUGCCGAAUUGCCUAAGAGUUCUCUUAAAGGAACAGCAAUGUGAAAGAACCACAUGGUAAGGAGAAUUUACGCAUGUCCUGCAUACUACUCCUUUCCCCUGUGAAUUGCAUAAGACCUAGAUGAUCUUGGGCCAAGGAAGAAAAUCUGGAAGGGUGUUUCUACCCACCAUGUGCAGAGUACACUACAAUUUUGAGAAAACGGAAAGACCAUAUUCAAAGGCAUACAGAAAAGCCUGUUCUGUUUACAAAGGCUGACCCAGGGCACCAGGGACACUGUCCCUAAGCAGAUCAGUUGUGGGAGAACUUUUCUACAUUAGCAUGCAAUAAGCAAACCAUUCAUAGUGAGGAGAAGUCAAACUCCCAAGGGUCCAUUUGAUAAAACUUUGUCAUUGUCGAGUGGAAAGAAGAUACUGAGAAACUUACACUAAGUGGUGGGAUCCCUUGUCUUUGUCUUU